AAAACAGCCCAUCAGAGAAGAUAAAGUCUCAUCCUGAGGGUGGAGCAAAUUCACAAAGACUUGAAUAUGUGAAAGGCUGAUUCAGAUGGAGUGAACCUGCUUUGGUAGUUUUACAAUCACUCUUCAUCACAAACUAACAACUAAAAAUCUAUAAAUUUUAGAACAGCUUUAAGAGUUUGUUUCACCCAGCAGAGGGCGUUCUUCUCAUUUCUGUAGUCCUCAUGUACACAAUGAGCUCAAGACUCAUCAUGGAAGGUCAAAUCUUGCCACAGGGUGGAGCUCCAGACUUAAAUCACAGUGUUUCAGUGAGAAAAGACACAUCUGAGUUUGUCAUUUCAUUCCAUCAUGCUGCUCUGUGCACUUGGAAUAUUUGCAGUACUUGCAGGAGACUCUCUUGGUGAUGUAAUAACAUCUCAUGGUUCUGAAAAAGAAGCUCAAGAUGGUAACAGUGUUUCUCUCUCCUGCAACUACAGUGGUGUUGUUUUCAAUCUACUGUGGUAUCGUCAGUAUCAGAGAUCCGAACCAGAACUCCUUCUCUCCAUCACUGAAUCUGGAGAUCCAGUUAAAGCAGAUCCAUCAGCCCACUGGUUUUCUCCUAAAGUUGACAAACUCAAAAAGCUCUUGGAACUGAAAAUCAGCCCUGCUAAAGUAUCAGACUCUGCCAUAUACUUACUGUGCUCUGAGGCCCACACAGACUUCAACCCGACAGUCAAAGCAGCAUUACGUCAUGAAAGUGUGGACUUGGAGGAAGACAGCAAGAGCUUAGGAUUCCAUUUGGGACAGAGACUAUAA